AGAGUUUGAUCCUGGCUCAGAACGAACGCUGGCGGCAGGCCUCAAACAUGCAAGUCUAGGGGGUGUAGCAAUACAUCACCGGCGGACGGGUGCGUAACGCGUGGGAAUGUACCUAUUGGUUCGGAACAACUGAGGGAAACUUCAGCUAAUACCGAAUGUGUCCUUACGGAGAAAGAUUUAUCGCCAAUAGAUCAGCCCGCGUCCGAUUAGCUAGUUGGUGGGGUAAUGGCCCACCAAGGCUCCGAUCGGUAGCUGUUCUGAGAGGAAGAUCAGCCACACUGGGACUGAGACACGGCCCAGACUCCUACGGGAGGCAGCAGUUGGGAAUCUUGGACAAUGGGGGAAACCCUGAUCCAGCCAUGCCGCGUGAGUGAUGAAGGCCUUCGGGUUGUAAAACUCUUUCGCGCACGACGAUAAUGACGGUAGUGCGAGAAGAAGCUCCGGCUAACUUCGUGCCAGCAGCCGCGGUAAUACGAAGGGGGCUAGCGUUGUUCGGAAUUACUGGGCGUAAAGCGCGCGCAGGCGGCUAUCCAAGUCAGUGGUGAAAGCCCGGAGCUCAACUCCGGAACUGCCAUUGAAACUGUUUAGCUUGAGUAUGAGAGAGGUGAGUGGAAUUCCCAGUGUAGAGGUGAAAUUCGUAGAUAUUGGGAAGAACACCGGUGGCGAAGGCGGCUCACUGGCUCAUUACUGACGCUCAGGCGCGACAGCGUGGGGAUCAAACAGGAUUAGAUACCCUAGUAGUCC
rnacentral:rRNA from 1 species